rnacentral:rRNA from 1 species
UAAAGGGGGGUUGCCUCAGUACGGCGAGUGAGCGGCAAAAGCUCAAAUUUGAAAUCUAGCACUUUCAGUGUUCGAGUUGUAAUUUGAAGAAGGUAACUUUGGUUUUGGCUCUUGUCUAUGUUCCUUGGAACAGGACGUCACAGAGGGUGAGAAUCCCGUGCGAUGAGAUGCCCAAUUCCAUGUAAAGUGCUUUCGAAGAGUCGAGUUGUUUGGGAAUGCAGCUCUAAGUGGGUGGUAAAUUCCAUCUAAAGCUAAAUAUUGGCGAGAGACCGAUAGCGAACAAGUACAGUGAUGGAAAGAUGAAAAGAACUUUGAAAAGAGAGUGAAAAAGUACGUGAAAUUGUUGAAAGGGAAGGGCUUGAGAUCAGACUUGGUAUUUUGCGUUCCCUUCCUUUUUGGUUGGGUUCCUCGCAGUUUACUGGGCCAGCAUCGGUUUGGAUGGUAGGAUAAUGACAUUGGAAUGUAGCUUUACUUCGGUGAAGUGUUAUAGACUUUGUUGAUACUGCCUAUCUAGACCGAGGACUGCGUCUUUGACUAGGAUGCUGGCGUAAUGAUCUUAAGCCGCCCGUCUUGAACAACGGACCA